UACGUAGGGUGCGAGCGUUGUCCGGAAUUAUUGGGCGUAAAGGGCUCGUAGGCGGUUUGUCGCGUCGGGAGUGAAAACACUGGGCUUAACUCAGUGCUUGCUUCCGAUACGGGCAGACUAGAGGUAUUCAGGGGAGAACGGAAGUUCCUGGAUGUAGCGGUGAAUGACGCAGAUAUCAGGAGGAACACCGGUGGCGAAGGCGGUUCUCUGGGAAUGUCCUGACGCUGAGGAGCGAAAGUGUGGGGAGCGAACAGG
rnacentral:rRNA from 1 species